GCCACUUGGCAUCCUCUUAAACCCUUAAUUGCCACAUGUCCUCUCUACAGCCUCUAAUUUUACAAAAUCCCGCUCAAACUAAAACCCUAAACCAAACACGCGUAGAUGGCUUCCUUCUCCAACAAUCUUCUUUCCUUAUGGCAACAUAGAUUCAGGUCCCAUCUAUUGCUGAUUUCUUUCACAAACACUAAAUCUAUACUAGGCGAUUCUCUCAUGCGGUUAUCAAAAACCCUAAAUUGGAACCAGUCGAAUCUGAUACAGUGAAAUUAAGGCUUUUGAUUUCCGAGUUAGGGUUUCUUCUUCAUAUGCGGUCUUCUUUUUAAGAUGAUUUGCCAUAAUUCUUUGCCUAUAAUAUCCUUUGUUCAUUGUAAUUCAUCGACAUCACAAUUCCAAUUUUUAUGUUGCCAUCGUUCCGCCUUAAUCAAUGGCAAAUCAUCGUUGCUUCUUCAACUAUGUCUUAGACGCUACGGAAUCAGAACGGGUAAGACUUUAACUUUUAGUUGACCUUUGUAGCAUAUACCACAUAUAUUAAAUCUCUAAUUACGUUUUCUAUGAUUUUUCCCUUAACGUCAAUUUUACAUUUUUAUUCACAAAUAUAGCCGUUGCCAGCCUCAUAUAAUGUGGACAUUGGACUACAGGGCUAUCCCGUCAAAUGUGAUGUAUAAAGAAGUCUUUAAUGAAAAAAACUCAGGUCUCCUUACUGCAAGAAUAUAGAUUAAAACAGGCUGGCGGAUAUGUUAGUAUAUUAAUAAUCACCAACAUUUGGGUUGUCGCAAAUAAUCUAAGUUCCUUUUAAAAGUAGUUGGAACUAGGUGCUUAUCGCCACCAAAAUGGUGUGGGUUCGAGUCCCACUGGCCGAUAUGUAAAUUAUAUGAAGAAUGUGUGUUUGCUGUUAAAAAAACUGGAAGUAGCUUUUUUUAACCAGUAGGCUUUAUUGAUGCUAAAAGUUGUUUCUGAUAAUAUUUAAUACCAAAAAAGUUUUUUAUACAUAAUUUACAGACAUUUGCUUGCGGCUUUAUCUUUGGUUGCACAGAUACAACUUUGCAUAGACGAGUGUCAGGUAAAUUAUUAAUGUAAAUUAAAAGAAGCGAGUCAGCUCGAGUCAAGCUAUAACUUGAAAAUUUACACACGAGUUAGAUCGAACAGAACUACAGAUGCUGUUUUGAUAAGUUAUUUCAAUAUUGUUUGUCUCCAUCACUUGGCUAUGUGUCGCGCCAUAUGUGCUGGUUGCUUUACAUGAUGAAUUCUAUAUACCUUAAUUCAUAUACAUAUUUUCCACCAAAGUAAGUUUUUUAAGAAUAGAGCAUAACUUUAUAUUCUUUUCAUGAUUUUAUAAAUGAUUUCAUAUUAAGAGAGGCCAUGGGGUAGCUCGGUAUCUUGGUAAAUCACAGGUAUGUAUUGUAAUGUUGUUGGUUUGUUUUUAACGCUUUUUUAUUUGGUUGUUGUAAUGGUUUGUUGUUUGAGUUGGAACAUGUGGAUUGAAUUUGCUCUUUUACAACCUUUUACAGUUCUUUCAUGUUAUAUUGCAUGAUUCAAUCACCCUUUUUAUUCAAUUUUUUUCUAUGACAUUUAAGUUUCAUCAUGAACAACAGCACACCACCUGUUUGAUGAAAUGCCUGACUGAAAUUGAAAAUUUGUGUUCUUUAUUUUUUUGUGUGAAACUUUCGAAUUUUAUCAGUAGGGUAAAAGUUUUUAACCAAAGUUAUAUAAUACGAUUAGUAUUGAAAAGUUUUUAUAAACUUGAUAAGAUGAAUAAUGAUGUUGAAAUCUAUGACUUUCAAGUCUGAGUUUGACUUUAUUUAGUCAAACAAAGAUAGUUUUAGGCCUUCGUUUUUCAGAUGUCAACAGCCCUUUGGUUUAAAUUUUGAUUACGUUUUCUGCGGUGAAUGUAAGUGGCAAUGAAUCUAUGACGAUAGAAAGGUUUAAGUAUACUUUAUCUAAUUUAUAUGCCUUGGCAUCUGGUAGGCAAUGAAGAUGUUCUGCAUAUAAUAUUUCCGAACAUGAUGAUCUUGGCGAGGCAAAGAUGAGAUUAUCCACAUUCUGGCGGGGCAACAUGGAUGGUCCUGUGAAAGGUUGAAUAAGUUUGUGCUAUCACAUGGCAAUCGGUUGAUAACUUGCGGCUGGGAAUGAGUGACGGCCAUAAUUUGAUUGUAAAAGUUGUUAGUUCAACGCUGGUGUUGCAGAAGGGCCGGCCUAAUUGCUGAAUGUUUGGUAGGAGAUGAGACCGAGACUAUAUUGUUCACUGCAAGGAAUAAUCAAGGUAGUUACCGGUUUUCUUUUUAAGGGUUCUACGAGACACGAAUUGCAUAUUAUUCAUGGAGGGGUGCAAAAGGGGUACCGUUUUGCAGCCAUCCCUGGUUAACUUGUGAUUGAUAUAGAUCUGUUUGAAAAUCCAAUGGUAUCCAAGUAUGCGAUUCAAGAAGGCGUUCGAGACCGAAGAUUUGUUCAUAAUUAGCUUGGUUUAUCUGCAUGGUUUUGUCUGUUCGUGCCGAUGAUCAAACCCGUAUAGGUUUUGUUGAAAAGAGGUGGAUAAGAGCUAUAAGUUGGACCCGUUGGUCACCAUUCUUGCGAUUUAGGAUAAGCUCCAGCAUGCGAUGGAAUGGGUCAAGAAAAAAAAAAUACUCUAAUGCAGUUUUUUACAUCAGAAGUUUGGUGUUUUUAUUUUUUUUUCUUUUUUCUUUUUUUUUUACACCAAACUUGUGGUGU